UAAUACNUAGGUAACCUACCCUUAAGACGAGGAUAGCCAUUGGAAACGAUGGAUAAAACUGGAUAGGAUAUAGAGGAAGAAUCUUUUAUAUUUAAAAGAGAGAUCUGCUUAAGGAGGGGCCUGUGGCGCAUUAGCUAGUUGGUGGGGUNAGGGCCUACCAAGGCGAUGAUGCGUAGCCGGACUGAGAGGUUGAACGGNCACANUGGAACUGAGAACGGNCCNUACUCCUACGGGAGGCNGCAGUAGGGAAUUUUCGGCAAUGGGGGGAACCCUGACCGAGCAACGCCGCGUGAACGAAGAAGUUAUUCGUAAUGUAAAGUUCUUUUAUCAGGGAAGAAAGAGGAAUUUGACGGUACCUGAGGAAUAAGCUCCGGCUAACUACGUGCCAGCAGCCGCGGUAAUACGUAGGGAGCGAGCGUUAUCCGGAAUUAUUGGGCGUAAAGGGUGCGUAGAUGGCAUAGUAAGUCUUUUGUAAAAAUGCUGGGCUCAACCCAGUAGGGCAAAAGAUACUGCNAAGCUAGAGUAUGACAGAGGCAAGUGGAACUACAUGUGUAGCGGUAAAAUGCGUAAAUAUAUGUAAGAACACCAGUGGCGAAGGCGGCCUGCUGGGCUUUAACUGACGCUGAAGCACGAAAGCGUGGGUAGCAAACAGGAUUAGAUACCCUGGUAGU
rnacentral:rRNA from 1 species